CUGUAGUGAAAUGGAUAGCGCGUUGGACUUCUAAUCCAAAGGUCGUGGUUUCGAAUCCCACCUGAAAUGG
rnacentral:tRNA from 1 species